rfam:Rachicladosporium antarcticum strain CCFEE 5527 scaffold_22, whole genome shotgun sequence.
GGUUCCAUAGUGUAGUUGGUUAUCACUUCGGAUUCUGACAUGUUGAUGCUCUGAAUUUCCGGUGACCUGAGUUCGAAUCUCGGUGGGACCU